rnacentral:rRNA from 1 species
UACGUAGGGGGCAAGCGUUGCCCGGAUUUAUUGGGCGUAAAGGGCGCGUAGGCGGCUCGGCACGUCCGUUGUGAAAUCGCCCGGCUCAACUGGGCGGGGUCGGCGGAUACGGCCGAGCUGGAGCAAGCUAGGGGGUAAUGGAAUUCCCGGUGUAGUGGUGGAAUGCGUAGAUAUCGGGAGGAACACCAGUGGCGAAGGCGGUUACCUGGAGCUUUGCUGACGCUGAUGCGCGGAAAGCGUGGGGAGCGAGUCCGG